rnacentral:lncRNA from 1 species
CUAGCGUCUUCCUCUCAAGCGCCGCCGCAGUCGUGUUGCCUCCUGAUCAUCCGCCGCCAGAUCGCCGUCUUUGCUGUCCUCUUAGGUGCAGCCGCUGCGCACACCCACGGAGAUCGCCCUCAUGUCACCUCGCUGCCGUCUCACCAGAUCAUCGACGCACCGCCUCGCCAUACCGGUCCGGCGUCGACUCUGCACACGCUUCAGGUCUACCACGACAACUCUUUCAAGGGGAUCAGGGCAGGACAGAAGGAACACUAUGACCAUGUCCCCAUGGCCCAUGUCCAUGUACGCAUCAAGCUCCUAAGUGAUAAUCUGAUUGCCUGCUGA